rnacentral:rRNA from 1 species
CGUAGGAGACGAGCGUUAUCCGGAUUUACUGGGCGUAAAGCGCGGGUAGGUGGGGUCUUAAGUCAUGCGUGAAAGCUCUCGGCUUAACCGGGAGAGGUCGUGUGAAACUGGGAUUCUCAGAGGUAGGUAGAGGCAGAUGGAAUUCCGGGUGGAGUGGUGAAAUGCGUAGAGAUCCGGAGGAACACCAGUGGCGAAGGCGAUCUGCUAGGCCUGACCUGACACUCAGACGCGACAGCAUGGGGAGCGAACGGGAUUAGAAACCCCGGUAGUCAAUGCCGUAAACGAUGCAUACUAGACGUUAGGGAGGCAUAGCCUCUUUAGUGUCGAAGCCAACGCGAUAAGUAUGCCGCCUGGGGAGUACGAGCGCAAGCUUA